ensembl:lncRNA
GGGGAGAAAGUCAACGAAGCUGCUUGCGACAUUGCCGGCAGGUGGCUGACGAGGGGAAUGCGCUGGUAGCAGUGGUGUAAGUCAGACGCCUUCAUACCUCAGCUGCAAGAGUGAAACUGAAGUUAAAAAAAUAUUCCAGCAGCAGUUAGAGGUCUUUGUGAAGAAGAGCAUUGGACUUCCUCAUCGCAGAGUAUUUUGAACAUGUCGAGGAAGCUGUGUGGGCAGUGGAGGCCUUGAAAGUGUCCGGGAAACCCGUGGCAGUGACCAUGUGCAUCGGGCCCGAGGCGACCUGCAUGGCGUGUCUCCCAGGAGAGUGUGCCGUGCGCCUUGUGAGAGCAGGUUAUAAGAGCCAUGAAGGCAGAAACUGUGUCUAUUUGGUCAGCACUGAGCACCCUGUGCCCUACCAUAGUCUCUAGCACAAAGCAGAUCCUUAAUCAAUAUGUGGCCGGAGCUGAGAGCUGCUCAGAGUUCCACACUGGACCUGGCAACAUUGAGUCACGAGUGACCAAGAAUGAAGAGCACUCGGCAGACCCAUCCCAGCUAGGACCUCGAAGAUGCCCACCGCUGAGCACCAGCCGCCAAGGGUUGCAGCCUCCACCCUGCUGCUCCUGGUCUGCACACGGCACUACUCUCCUUGUGGCUAGGGAAGUCUCUCCUGGCCUGAUUCUUGGCUUAUCUAUGAAUCUAAGAUACAAAGUCCAAGUUGUGAGUCAUCCAAAAGAAACUCUUGUGGAGGUAGAAACUACCCAGUAGUGCUUCAGCAGAUGAAUGGAUAAACGAAAUGUGGCACAUCCAUACAAUGGAGAAGUAUUCAGCUGUGAAAAAGGAUGUAGCUCUGAUAUAUGUUAUAACAGGAAUGAACCUAGGAACCAUCAUGCUCAAUGAAAUAAGACAAUCACGGUUGAACAAAAAAGCAUGACUUUACUCAUAUAAAGCAUCCAAAAGGGGCGAGCCCACAGAGACAGAAGUAGAUUAGUCAUCACCCAGAGCAGGAGGAAGAGGGAGAAAUUAGGAAUUUUUGCUUAAUAGUUAUAGAGUUUUUCUCUGGAGUGCAAAAACUGAGUAAACAUGAUGAUAGCCAGGUGUGGCCAGGUAUAGCCAGGUAUAGGCACACAUCUAUAAUCCCAGCACUCAGGAGGCUGAGGCAGGAGGAUCACCACGAGUUCAAGGCCAGCCUAGGCUACAUAGUGAGUUCAAGGCCAACCUGAAUUACAUAGGAGACCCUGUCUCAAAAAAUACAGUGAUGAUAGCUGCAGAAUGUUGUGAAUGCAACAGCACUGAACACUUAAAAUGAUUAAAAUGGCCAAUUUUAUGAUUAUAUAUUUUACCAAAAUCUUAAAAAUACAAAAAGCAAAAAGAGAAGUUCACUUUUGAAAUCUCUCCCAUUUCAAGAGGCGUCAAGGUCACAUUGGCUCUGCAAAUCUUGAGGAGGAGGAGAUUUCUAAAAUCAUGUCUAACAAUGCCAUGAUCAAUUGUCUUUGGCCCAGAUGCAAUUAAGAAUAUAAUAAACAUCAGGACAGGGAUUUAGCUCAGUGGUGCCUGCCUCACAAGCGCAAGGUCCCAAGUUCAAUCCCCAGUACCAAAAAGAAAAAAAGAACAUAAUGACCAUCAAGAAAGUCUUUGAGGGCCGGGGAUUUAGCUCAGUGGUUUCACUGCCUGCUGCACAAGCACAAGGACCUGCGUUCAAUCCCCAGUACCCCCUGCAAAAAAAUUUUUCUUUAAGAAGUCUUUGAAAACAAGUGUCUAAAGCACAUUCUGUUCUCCCUAAAUCAAACUUCCACAGCAACAGAUUUUAGAAGGAAGCUUUAAGAGCACACACCAUGUAGUUGUGAAUUGGAGGCUAAAAUGUAAAUGAAAGGCUUGACAAAUAAUUGACAGGUAGUUAACCAUAUCGAUCAGCUCAAGUCAAAGGAUUUUUGAAUGUGUUUUUCUCCAAACCACUAACCCUAGACACAAAAUUCCUUCUGGAAAACAGAUUUCUGAAAAAUGUUUUUUAAAAAUUACUUUCUGCUAUUUUUCCCAAGAAGCCUAGUGAAAUUAUUAAACAGACCUGAUGAGAGGGAACAUUUAUUUAAGCCUCAAAUGAGCAGCGCUGUGGUAAACACAGGUGCAGUCUAGCAGCUGGGCGUGUUGAAAAUUAUUGUGCUUGCAACGAAAUGUCAAGUGUUGAAAAAUUGACUACCAAACUUUGAAGUAAAAAAGAAAAAAAACCCUCCAAUCAUGAUUUUUUGGGGGGAAAAAAGAUGGACAGCCCAGUUUGCAUAAAUGACACUUCAAUUACCAGACUCCUCAAAGUACUUUUUACAGAAAGCACUCUGCCUACUAGUAAUCAGUCUUGCUCACAACUGGCUUAGGCUGUGGGACAUGGGGACCCAUGCAACACUUCCAAUUCAUCACUCCAAACAGGGGCUUCCUAAAGAAGAAACAGAGUCGGCGCCGGGUAGCAGGGCAGUCCCGAUGCCUAACCUGUCCUCUGCUUGCAGGCGCCUCCAUUGUGGGGGUGAACUGCCACUCGACCCCACAACUAGCCUGCAGACAGUGAAGCUCAUGAAGGAGGGCCUCGGCGGCCGCAGGGCUAAAAGCUCACCUGAUGAGUCAGCCCUUGGCCUACCACACUCCAGACUGCGGCAAGCAAGGCUUUAUUGAUCUCCCAGAAUUCCCCUUUUGGUAAGACAGAUACUUUUUAUAAAUCAUCUCAAUAUCUUUGCUUGAUAAAUUUCAAAUAAAUACAGCCAGAGAGCUUUUGUCAUAGUAAAGAAAUGGCUGCAAAGCUCUCAUCUGUUGCCCCUAGUUCUGUCCCACAGCCCAAACUCCCCUGAUGUUAGACACUAGGAGAUGGGCCAGGGGAAGUUCUGAACUUAAACAUAAACUCUGAGGUGACAACCAAUCAGUCAUGCUUUCAGGCUGCGAAAGAGCCCCCCAAAGUGGGACUCAGAAAAUCUGGUCCAUUCUAGCUCUGUGGCUGAGUUGUUAGGGAACAUUUCCUCAGUUCCUCUAGAUCUUCACGUUCUCACCAGGAAAAUCCAAAGGUUAAACUAGUUGUCUACAGAGUGCAUUUUUCUAUGAGAAUACUGCUGGACACUUCAAUGCCUUGGGCCUGGGCAGGACUACUGUGUAACGGAGGUGAAGGGGGAUUCCUAGACUCCUGGCAGAGGAAUGAGCCUCUCCACAUCCUGGAAAGUGGGGUGUCAUAGUUACUUCUCUCAUUGCUGAGACAAAAUACCUGACACCCAAGGAGGAAAGGUUUAUUUGUCUCAGUUUGUACAGAUUUCAGUCCACAGUCAGCUGGCUCCAAGGCAGGGGUGGCACGGCAGAGGGACUUUGCAGAGGAGAAAAAAUGCAUGGUGGGCCAAAGUCGCAAGCAGCAAGUCCAAUUGCCAAUACCAGCUUCUUUCUGCUCCUCUUAUAUUCUAUCUAGGCUGCUGGGCUUAGGGCGGGUGCCAAAUCGAUCAGUGGACUGAUUUAGUAAUCACACACACAUAAUCCCAGCAUCACACACUCUAGAUCCAGCCACCUCUGAAAAAGCCCCCGCCUAUGACUGCACCAGGCUUCAAGGGGACAUCUAGACACAAGCCAUAACAUGGGCUGAGCCCAGUUUGAAAAUCAAGCUGGAGAGGUCGCCAGGGCAGAGUGCAUCAGCCUCCCUUCACACUCUGAAGUCCUUAUCCUAAACCCUGUCUUCUAUUGUGAUGCUCAGAGAUGUUAUAAAGUAUUAGAAAAUAAUGACCCAAGAGGAAAGAGAGAAAGGCUGACACAGCAUUUGGGUUAUUUUUGCUAUAUAUUUAUUAUCUCUCAGUUCCCAGAGCUCAGAAAUCAGGCACAGUGGAGCUGGGUGGGUUUCCUUCAGGAUCUCCCAAGGGGCUGCAGCCCAGAGCUUGGCCAGGACUGGGGCAUCUGAAGCCCGGCAGGCAGUGGAGGAUCUACUACGUGCAUGUGCAUAUUCAUGUAGGUGGCUCUGGGGCUCAGUGUCUUGUUGUCUGUGGACUGCAGACCCCAGCUCCUUGCCUCUCUGCCUUCCACAAUGAUGUUGGAGUAUUUCUGCAGCACAGCAUCUGGCUCCCAGGGCCAGUGCUCCCAGCAAAGCCAGGCAGAAGCCAAGGCGUUUCUCUGCCCCAGCCCCUGAGGCUACACUGCCCCUCCUCCAUGCACUGCCUGUCUCCCAGGUCACCCUGAUUCAGUGAUGAGGAGAAGCUCAGAGGAUGGCUCAUCAGGACAUAAGGCUGCAUGUGUUGAUUCAGAGUCUCUAUUAGCUUAAAAUCUAAGAAUUGAGUAUCUACAGCCUGUUUGGUUUAUUGAAAAUUUUAUUACAGCUAUUUAUCUUGGAUUUCUUAAUAAAAAGAAUUCAGACAUAAUGACAUUUAUCACAGGACUGGAGCCCAGAGUUGCCACCAGAUGGGAUAUUCAGAAAUAUGCCAGAGAGGCCUACAACCUGGGGGUCCGGUACAUCGCGGGUGCUGUGGGUUCGAGCCCUACCACAUCAGGGCGAUUUGGAAGAGCUGGCCCCAGAAAGGGGAUUUUGCCACCAGCUUCUGAAAAGCAUGGGGGCUGGGGAAGUGGUUUGGACAUGCACACCAAACCCUGGAUUAGAGCGAGGUAAGCACCAUUUCCAGCCCAAACUGGUUUGGAUCUGAAUACCGUAUGUCCAAGCGAGACCACUAAAAGGGCAGCUAAUUUGCUAUGUGAUGAUUAAAUUCUCUCCCGGAAAUGUUUAUAAAACAGCUUCAUGAGCUGAUCUGUGUUGAAGACUCUAAAAAUAUAGAAUAUAGGGCUGGGGAUUUAGCUCAGUGGUGCUGCUGCCUGGCUCGAAAGCACAAGGUCCUGAGUUCAACCCACAGUACCAAAACAAAAAAGAAUAUAGACUAUGAACAAUAUAUAUGGUAAUGAAAUGUUAUUUUUUUUGGUCUAAGAAAGCACCAUGUACAUGGGAGAUGCUAACAUUGAAUCAUGUGGAUUUAUGAGUCAAAUACAACUUAAACACAGCAAUAUUGUUUUAUGUCAAGAUUUGCAGGGCCAGGAAUUUAGCUCAGUGAUUCUGCUGCCUACCUCGCAAGAGCAAGGUCUCAAGUUCAAUCCCCGGUACCACAAAAAAAAAAAAAAGAUUUGCAGCAGUGGGAACAUAGUAGUAAACAAGAUACACAAGGAUUUUGCCCUCGAUCCUACAUUCCAGUGGUAGAGAUGAAUAAUAACAAGAAAACAAAUUUUUUUAUCAAGCAGGUGAAGGACAUGAGGAAUGCUACACAAAUGGAAAUCUGUGGUCUCUGAUUUGGAGACUCGCAGACUAUGGGGGAAAUGGAUAAGAAAUCCAAUAUAUGAUACAGUAGGGAAAUGGAUAACAAAGUAACAGGAGAAAAGAAUGACUAAGUCUGCCUAGGAGAAAGAUAUUCUAGAAAAAGGGUCUCUUGGACCCUUUUGAAGGCUGAGUAGAGAAGGAAGGCUGGAGAGUGGCCCACCCAGCAGAGGGAGCCAUCCCACAACACUCAGCAGACAUUCACCGAGCACAAUUUUGUCAGACACUGCUUUGACACUGUUGCCGAAAGCUGGAUGUCACACAGCCUGCGCCCCGCUCCGGGGGUUAGCAGAGUAGACCGAGACCCAGGCUGUUCCCGUGAUGGCGUGAGUUCACAAGAGGAGGAGCACAGGCGCAGCCACUUGGAGCCGAGCUAAUGGCCCACAGAAGCGAAAGACGGAGGGGGCCGAUGGAGGGUGCCUGAGCCUGCCGCUGCCUGAGCUGAAUUCUUCAGGGUGAAUUAUGUCGUCAGACACAGGAACAGCAUGCUGGAAGCUCUCGGGGUGGGAAGAGAACAGUGCAUUGAGAAACUAGAAGUCUAAGCACAGUGGAGGGAACCAGAGCUGAUAGAGGACACUUCAAAUAGGCAGUGAGAGGCCUGCAGUGUGUCAGGCGGCCCGUGUGAGGGUAGGUUUGCAAGUUAGUGAGUGCCACAGCCUUGCACACAUGCCUCCGAGAAGGGCUCUCAGCCAUGAGGAGGACUGAGCCAGAAGGAGACAAAGGGAAAAGAAGGGAGAAGGAAGGAAGCAAAUUCUGCAGAGGGAGAGGUACAGAAGCCAUUCAGAGCCGGACCACAAGGUACAGGGCAGAAUGUGAGGGUGGACAGGUCACAUACACUGGACAGAAAAUAUCCCCUCCCUAAAUUCUAAGCUUUUUAUCCCUAUACAUAUGUGAAAAAGAGGAAAUCUGAGACAAUUUUAGACAGUCAGUUUGAGGGGUCAAAAGAUCUUACUCUGCUUUAACGGACGCACUCUCCGAGUCUGAAGAUGCCCUGGGUUAUGUUGUAGCUCGGGGGACAGAGCGCUGGACACACAGGGCUGGAGCCUGAUGUUUUGUGCUUUGGUCCCACAGGGCCAGGGAAGGAAUACUGGCAGAGUCUCCGGAUCGCCUCAGGCAGGCCCUACAACCCCUCACUGUCCAAGCCUGAUGCCUGGGGGUGACCAAAGGGACAGCCGAGCUGAUGCAGCAAAAGGAAGCCACCACCGAGCAGCAGCUGAGAGAGCUUUUUGAAAAACAGGAGUUCAGAUCUACCCAGUAGCCACAACCUGACUAUCUUUGCUGAAUUCCUGUAUGUCUGGGCACUCCAUGUGUACAAAUAAGGAAAAGAUGGUUCAAAAGCAGUGUUUGCCUUAGUGCCAGCCUACAUGUAUACUUGGUAUUAGCCAAGCGAAGAGAAUCAUGAGUAGCAGUUGGCAGGUCUAAAAGUAUGUUAGAGUUUAUCUAGAAGCAACCAAAAUACAAAGUAAAUCUGAAACAGGUUUCCUAAACACCUGUCGUGUGUAAGGUAUUACAGAAAUCACUGCAGCAAAGGAAAAGUAAUCCAGACAUUAAUCCCAUUUCCAGAAAUUGGCAGGCUGAGAGGGAGCACAAGACCUGCCCUGUCAUGAGUGACACAGAGCCAGGCAGGGACAGGCGAGUGCUGUGGAAAGUGACUUCCGACCACUUCUGAAUGUGACUGCUAUUAAGGAACACAGUCUGUCCAAUGGCCCAGUAAUGGCAUACAAUCUCUGAAAUAAAAUGUGUCAUCUGUUCUGAUAUUUUGUAUUCUUUUCCAUUCCACCCUAGUUAGAAAAAUAUACCGGCUGAGAUCCUUUCAA